rnacentral:lncRNA from 1 species
UGAGGCUGCUCUUAGGGAAACAGCCUUUCUGUGGGUGAUCAAGAGUCCCAGAAGGCAAGAAAGCUAUAGUGAAGAGGAAUGUCUUAUUGUAAUGAUUUUAGUAUGAAAUAAAGGGAAAAAAUUUGCACUUUGCUAACCUACACAUUUAAUAACACAAAAAGAAGCAGUUUUUCUACCUUAUUUCUUAGCUAAGAUUUAGCAGCAGUUGUGGGAAUUAAAAAUUACUCAUACUUAACCCUAAUACUCUGUGAUGUAUUAUCUGACAGAGAAAAGAAUAAUGUAAGUUAUAUAUGCUUAAAUGUUGGAAGGUAGAUUAGAGUAUCUUAUUCUUGAUAUUUAUCAUAGUUGCUUUUUUUAACCUGCUAUAAACUCCUACUUUCUUAUACUUG